rnacentral:lncRNA from 1 species
CGUUUUCUGGCUUGGAAAGGUUGAAGGAGCAAUGACAGGUGUCCUGGGGCUCGAAUGACUGGCCGAGGCGGCAGAAGCUGGCCCGGUCGCUGUAGACUCUUGGACGCAGUAGCAGCGCUCGCUCAGCCUCUUCUGCCUCCCCCACGUCCACACAGAGAGAAAUCCAACCCUUGGCUGAGGCCUGAAAGAAGACCUGCAUUCACGCCGCGGAGGGGAGUGCUGCUCAGCUGUCAAAAGAACAAGCCCAGCAGAGGCAGGGUCAGAAGGUCCUUUCCUCUCCCUCCACCCUUUUGUUUCCGUUUCCUCUCCUCUUCUCCCCCUCCUUCCUCCAUGCCUUCUGUUUGUUUGUUUAUUUGUUUAUCUUUUGCUCUGUGUGUUUUGAGACAGGCUCUCCCUUUGUAGCCUAUGCACACCUGGAACUCCCUGUGUAGUCCAUGGAAACGCUUCUGAUUCGGCCUCCUAAAUUCUUGGGAAGAUGGACUGCUGGGGUGGGGCACUUGCUGCUAAGCCUGAAGACCUGAAAUCACUCUCCGGAACUCACGUGGUAGGAGAGAGAGAACCAACUCCUGAAAGUUGUCCUCUGACCGCCACAUGUAAUGGGGACACAGGCAACUUGUCUAGUAGGCCUAUGUAUACAGCUGAGUGUUUGGACCAAUCAUGGCCAUUUGUUUGGGCCAAACCCCCGUCUUGCCAAUUUUUUUUUUUUUUUUUUUGAGACAGGGUUUCUCUGUGUAGCCCUGGCUGUCCUGGAACUCAUUUUGUAGACCAGGCUGGUCUCGAACUCAGAAAUCCGCCUGCCUCUGCAUUCUGAGUGCUGGGAUUAAAGGCGUGUGCCACUACACCCGGCUCCAUCUUGCCUCUUGGCAUCAUGAAAUUCCUCUAGUAAGCCACCAGGGGGAGUGUUCCACCCCUGUCGCAGGUGGAAAUGGUUGUAGGGUCAUCUAGAGAUCAUCAAGGCUUGGUAUAGUGAAAAUUCUGAUACCUCCGGGAGCUUAGGCAAUUGGCUGCAGUCUUUGUGUAGUUACCUCUGUCAGUGUUCUAGAUUGCUGAUUCUGACACAGGAUGAUCUGAUGGCUGUGAGAUUUUUGCUCCAGGGAGUCAGGGAGAGCUGAUGUAGUCAUGCAAACUGUCCCAAGCCUAAUGUCUUUGCUAAGUAACAGGAAAAUGGUCACUGGUAGGAGUGUUCACAUAUACACACAUAGAACUUAUUAACAAUAAGAGUGAUUUUAAAAAAUGAUUUACGUAUUUAUGUUAUAUAUCUAUGAGCACACCAUUGCUGUCUUCAGACACACCAGAAGCGGGCAUCACAUCCCAUUACCAAUGGUUGUGAGCCACCAUGUGGUUGCUGGGAAUUGAACUCAUGACCCCAGUUAAGUGCUCUUAACUGCUGAGCUCUCUCUCCAGCCCACUAAGGAUGAUUUUUAAAACAGAUUGAAGAGAGUUCACCACCUGCUCAAUGCCCCAGAGAGUGCUGAGUGCUCCUUAUACGUGCCAGUAGGAAAUCAUCAAGACCUAUAGAAUAGCCGGGCGUGGUGGCGCACGCCUUUAAUCCCAGCACUCGGAGGCAGAGGCAGGCAGAUUUCUGAGUUCGAGGCCAGCCUGGUCUACAGAGUUCCAGGACAGCCAGAGCUAUACAGAGAAACUCUGUCUU